rnacentral:rRNA from 1 species
UACGUAGGGUGCAAGCGUUGUCCGGAAUUAUUGGGCGUAAAGAGCUUGUAGGCGGUCUGUUGCGUCCGCUGUGAAAACUCGGGGCUUAACCCCGAGCCUGCAGUGGAUACGGGCAGACUGGAGUACUGCAGGGGAGACUGGAAUUCCUGGUGUAGCGGUGGAAUGCGCAGAUAUCAGGAGGAACACCGGUGGCGAAGGCGGGUCUCUGGGCAGUAACUGACGCUGAGGAGCGAAAGCGUGGGGAGCGAACAGG